GCAGCAAGAGGACAUUGAAGAAUCUGCAAGAGCAGAGCUGUGGCGCGAGGAGUUGAUUGAGGAGAUUGAGCAGAAGGUAGGAGGUCUGCGGGAACUGGAAGAAGCUGGCCGAAAGUAGGAGUUUAAUGGAGAAACCAUCGACCUAUCCUCAUGUUUUACUCUAAUUCUCAGUCACGUCCUUCUAAGAAUUCAAUAAAUCAUAACACCACAUUAUGUGUUUAUGGUUUUCAUUAUUUUUUUUAUGUUUUGUUACUUGCAAUUAACGAUGAAAAAGAAUGUUGUUUCACUAUUAUUGCCGUUACUAAUAUUAUCAUAUAGUUACAAAGUAGAGGUCGACUUUGAGAAGUGUUUAGAUGGGGCAUAAGUUCUUUUUAUUAUUGUUUAUGUUAUUGGCAAUUUUGAUUAAUAGAGCAUUGUAUGCGUUACAUUGUUUACCCUGAAAAUAAAUAAAAUUAGUCAAAAUUUAUAAAAUUUUAUUUUUAAAUAAUUAAAAAACUAGUGAAUUUAUAGAUUUAAUUUACUUGAAUGUUGGUGAUUUAAAGUUUGUACAAACUAAAAAUAAAAAAAUAUAUUAUAUUACUUUUAUAUAUGAUUGCAUAAAGUAUUUGUUAUAUCUAUUUGCUUAGAAGCAAAUAUAAGAAGCUUGGAAUAUUUAAAUAUUACAACAAUAAAGUUGAAAAUUAACUUAAUAAGAAAAUAAAGAUAAUAAAAAGCGAUAGAUGUUGAGAAUGUAAAGUACUUUUGGUGAAUUCUAUUUUUAAAAUGGUAUUAUCCACCAAACUACUGUUACUUAUUCACUUUAAUAAAAUGACAUUGCAGAAUUAUAAAAUCAAACAUUAAAAGAAAUGAUGAAUGUCGUGGUGCCAAUUAUAUACUUAAUAAAUGCCUCAAAAAAAAAUAGAAAAAACACCAUAUUUAUUGUAAAAAGAUAGAAGACCUUUCUACUAUAUUUUGAAAAGGUACAAGAUCUUUCUACAAUACCUCAAAGUAUAGGGGUAUCUUACAAAAAUAAUGAUACAUGAUCUAAAAUAAAAGAAGUCAAUAUAAGACCUCAAAUUAUGGAUUGUGUUUUUAUUAAAUAUGAUUACAAUAGUUGUGUAUAUCAAUUUCUUGUGCAUGGAUCAAGUAUUGAGGACAUUCAUCCCAAUACUAUAAUAGAAUCAAGGAAUGUUACAUUCUUUGAAGAUGUAUUUUCAUUUAAUAAAGCAUACAAAAAUUGUUCACUUACAAAAAUAAUUGAAGCUAGCUCAAGUAGUCAUCAUCAAUCAAAAUAUGAUAAAGUUGAGCUUAGAAUGAGUAGAAAGGCUAAAAUAACCUAUUUAUUUGCUCCUAAUUUUCAAACAUACUUGUUAGAAAAUGAACAUUUGACCUACUCUAAGACAAUGUCUUAUCCUAAAGCUUCUUAUUAGAAGGAGAUAGUCAAUAGAGAAAUUAAAUCCAUCAUGAACAAUCAUACAUGAAAACUAGUAGAUCUUCUACCUAGAAGUAAAACCAUUAAGAUGUAAACGAAUCUUAAAAAAUAAGAUGAAAAUUGAUGGAACUAUUGAGAAAUACAAAGCAAGACUUGUUCUUAAAAUAUUCAAACAACAAGAAAGUUUGGACUAUUUUGACAUUUAUUCACUUGUGUCAAGAACAACUUUCAUAUGAAUGUUAAUAUCAUCGCAACUAUUAAUAAACUUAAAAUAAAUCAAAUGGAUAUAAAAAUAUCUUUCUUAAAUAGUUACUUUGAUGAAAAGGUAUAUAUGGAACAACCCAAAAGAUUUGUUUUUAAUGAAUAAAAAUAAAAAGUUUAUAAGUUUAUCAAGUUAUUAUAUAGUUUGAAAUAAACACCUGAAUAAUGGUAUGAAAAUUUUCACAAGGUUAUAUUGUCAUAUGAGAUUAAAAUCAUUGAAGAUGAUAAAUGUGUUUAUGUAAAAAAAAAAAACACAAAUAAAUUUUAUGUCAUUAUAUAUAUUUAUAUGGACGAUAUGCUAAUUUGAGCAUCAAUGAUUACAUUAUUCAAUUUACUAAGAAAAUAUUAACUAGUAAGUUUGACAUUAAAAACUUGGGUGUUGUAGAUGUCAUACUAGAAAUAAAAAAUUACUAGGGCAUUUGAUAGAUCGGUAUUGUCUCAAUCUCAUUAUGUUGAGAAAAUUCUUGAUAAAUUUUUAAAAGUGGCAAUAGCACUGUCAAAACAACAAUAAACAUAAGUGUAUAUCUAUCUAAAAAUAAAGGUAAUAGAACAAACCAAUUGAAGUAUUCUUGAUUAAUUAGGAGCAUGAUGUAUGUUAUGAACUACACAAGACCAAAUAUUGCAUACAUAGUAAACUAAGUAGAUUUACCAUUGUCCAAGGAUUAUUGAAAAUCAAUAAAUAUGGUACUAAAAAUAUUAAGAUACACAUUAGACUAUGAGAUACAUUACAUUAGAUACCAAAUAAUACCAAAAGGUAUAGUGUUGUGAAUUAGAUUUCCAACACUAGGGAUUUCAAAUCUACUAGUGGAUAUGGCUUUACACUCAGUAAAGUAGUUGUAUCAUGAAAUUCCUCUAAGAAAAACAUGUAUUGUAAGAUCCAACAUAGAAUCAAAGUUUAUUACUCCUGAUAAAGCUGGAAAGGAAGUCAAGUGACUUUGAGAUUUCUUAGAGGAUAUUCUAUAUUGGCCAAAAUCAUGCCAAUAAUUUAUGUCCAGUUUGACAAACUGUCAAUAAUUGGAAAGUCUCAAAGUAAUAUGUAUAAUGGUAAGUCUAGACGUAUACAUUGUAGAUAUGAUAAUGUUAAAUAUUUACUCUCAAAUGGGAUAAUUUGCAUUGACCAUAUAAAGUCAAAGAACAAUAUUGCACAUCUAUUAACUAAAAGGUUUAUUGAGAAAGCUUGUGUAUAACUUUAUUGAGGAAAAUGGUUUAAAGCCUUUAAAGAUGAAAAGGUGUGAUGAUUGUAACCCUAUCUAAUUGAUCGGAGAUUCCAUGAUCUAGGUUUAAAGAAAAAACUAAGUCAUAUAAUAUUUUUGGUAGCACUUGAAAAUUAUUGUUUCUUGUUUAUUUCAAUGAUAAAAAAAAAAAAAAAGUUUUAGAAGAAGCAUAAUAAAUGGUGAGUUAUGCCAUUAGUGAUUUUCAUGUUUUGGUAUACUAAGUGGAGUAUAAUUGAAUACUUUUAAUGAAAAAUUACUUAAAUAAGAGAGAAAUAUAAUUGUUUCUUUGAGAAUUUGCAAAAAUACUAAAUUCUUGAAAGCAAUUAUGUAUUUAUGAGUUGUUUAAAAGUCAAAAUGAAUAUAACCAUGAUAACCAAAGAAAAUCUCUAAAUGGGAAACUAUAUGAGUGCUAUUAUCUUGGUUUGCAUUGAAGACUAUAUAGUUUAAGACAUAACGUUUACUACUUAGCUAAGUAAAUUUGAUAGAAUUUUACUAAAAUAGGUUCAAAGACAAAAGCCAUCUAUCUUGAUGUAGUAAUCCUUCAAAUUGUUAUCUCUCUAUGAAUAUUCAAGAGUCUUUGUAUAUUGAUUUGAUAAUUUUUAUUUAUGAGAGGGAUUGUUAGAAAUUUGUUUUAAGAACAUAGUUAAUAAACACAUUUGAGACCAAAUUAAAAUUCAAGUCCAUUAACCUUUAGAGUUAAAAUUUUAUUGGAAACUUUUCUCCAACAAAAGUUCUUUAACAUGAAGCAUUUACAUAAUUAAAAUAAAUUAUAGUUUAAUAAAAAUUUGAUCUAAAAAAACUCUUUGCUACCAUGUUUUUAUAAAACAUUAAAACCCUCUAUCCUAUAUGAAAGUACAAAAUUUUCUUAUUGUUUAUAUAAUGAAAGUUAAAGAGUUAUAAAUGAGCAUAAGCAAAGUAAAAUUGGGCUUAAGUCACUUGCUUGGCUCGGUACGAGCUUAAGCUUGGUCAAGGAACUCGAGCCCCGAGCCACAUGCCUCGGGUUUCUUCUUUAGCUUGAAUAGUCUUAUUUAUAUAUUAAACAUUAGAUUUUCAAGCUAAAAAAAUAUGAGGUUAGUUGUGUUUUAUGAUGGUAAUUAAAGCAAAACAAUGGUAAUUAAUUCUAAUAAUUGCUAGAAUUUGUUUUGGAUCAAUUUUUAUUUUAAAAAUCAAUAUAAAAAAAUUAAAUAGAAUAAUUUUUACACACCUUGCAACAGUUGAUAUGCCUUCUUAUCUAGUGAUUUUUAAUUUAUUGUUGUCUCAAGCUUUACUUAUAUUUUGUUCUCACUCUCUUUGUUCUAGAGUUUAGGAUCUUGUUCUUCACAGAGAGAUUUUAAAUCUUAUUUCUUGAGUUAUUGUAUCUUAUUUAAAAAUGUAUCUAAAUAAAUUAAUAUUAUUAGAAUCUUAAGAGAUUUAUUAAGAUCAUUUUAUUUACACAAAAAAAGGAAGCAAUAAAAAUUUAAGGAAAAUAAAAAUUCUUUUUAACAACCUUUUAUCUCAAUCAAAUUUAUGUGCCAAGUGCUAAGUAUUUUAUUUAUACUACUUUCUCUUAAUUGAUAUAUAACAAAUGUUAUAUAUAUAUGUUAAUAUACUUUUAUAACCUCUAAAUAUCACAACAUUCCAAUCCUCUUGACAAAGAUACUAGAAAUCGGAAACAAUGUUAAAAGGAAGGAAGUAUCGGUAUUGUACACCAACAUCAGCAGCUAGCACGACCUCAAAAGAAUCUGAACUCCCAAUAACAUUACGAAUACUUUAAUCCAAGCCAGCGUCGGUCCUUUUUUUAUUGCUUCUAGUUCAGCCAACAUAAUAUUUUCAUAGCCAAAAUACCCUGAAAAACCAAUUAGCCACUGCCCCCAUCAUCAGGAAAAGUGCCACCAAUUCCAGCAUGAGACAAUGUGCCAGAAUUUUUGUCAUCCAUAUUAAUCUUAACUGUAAAACCAAUCAGCCAUCUACUCCCUUGAAUGACCUCUUUGUUUAUCGCACACCAAAUAACGCAACACAUCAAUAAACAUAGCCUUCGUUGUUCCCAUUGAAAAUCUCAAUCAAACACAUUUACCAUGAAUCUAGUUUGACCAAGUGGAUGAGAAUAUUAGAUUGAAGUCGAAACAGAAAGUUGUUGCCACAUCAUUUUAGCUCACAGACAAUCAUGUAAAGCAUGCACUUUUGUCUUUUGUUCAACGACACAUCUGCUACAUAAAGGAGCAAUCAUUCCUAGCUUAAAACGAAGCCCAUUAGUUAGAAGUCUGUCAUUCAAGCUGCCACAGAAAGAAUUGUUUUUGGGGAAUAUCAAAUUCCCAUAAGAUUUUUUGUCUCUUGUUGAACACCACAUCUGCUACAUAGAGUAGUAAUUCCUAGCUUAAAAUGAAGCACGUUAGUUGGAACUCUGUCAUUCAAGCUGCCAUAGAAAGAGUUGUUUUUGGGGAAUAUCAAAUUCCCAUGAGCUCUUUUAUCUCUUGUUCAACGCCACAUCUACUACACAAAGGAGUAGUCAUUCCUAGCUUAAAACAAAGCCCAUUAGUUGGAAGACUGUCAUUCAAGCUGCUAUAAAAAGAAUUGUUUUUGGGGAAUAUCAAAUUCCCAUAAGAUCUUUUAUCUCUUGUUCAACGCCACAUCUGCUACACAGAGUAGUCUUUCCUAGCUUAAAACAAAGCACAUUAGUUGAAACUCUAUCAUUCAAGUUGCCACAGAGAAUUGUUUUUGGGGAAUAUCAAAUCCCUAUAAGCUCUUCCAGUGAAUAUUUGCUUCCAUAAGAUAAGGAAUUCGGGUAAUAAAAUCAUAGCCAGACUUAGUUGUAUAACUACCUGACUUGGUCAUCCACCUAUCAAACCAAAGUGAGGCUUGCAGGCCAUUACCAAUUCUCCAAGGGUAACCAUCUUUCAGAAAAGAAAACACCUUGAAAUAGCCUUCUGUAUCGGAGAAGCUCUCUAUAAAGGUCGAUGAGACACAAGAGACUCCUCGGCUAGAUAUUUCUUGUAUAAACAUGAAUCCAAUGAUUAUCUCCCCUUUGAAUAACAUCCCAACAUAGUGUCCUAUUAUAGAAAUCUUAUUAUCUCUUGUCAUUCUCAGACCCAUUUUGGCAGAGUAACUGCAUCCCAAUUUACCAAAUGAAUAUUGUGUCCCUCAUCUAGAGAUCCCCAAAGAAAACCCCUAGCAAUUUUAUCAACCUCCUUACAUAAUUGGGACAGUAACCAGGCAGAUUGCAUGGUAUAAAGAUGAAUAGUAGAAAUGGUAGAUUGAACUCGAGUACCUGCCUAUCUUAUUCAACAAUUUUCACUCCCAACUAGCAAGUGUAUAGUGAAUUUUCUCUAAAAUAUGCUUAAAGAACUCCUUACUGCUCUUGAUAAUCAAAAGCACACCCAAAGAACUCCCAAGAUCAGAUGUGAAGGAAAAAAUCAAUAUGUCUCAACUCUUCUUUAUGUCUACAACAUGCAUUAGAAGAAAUAGAAGAUCAUGUUUUAGUAUCAUUAACCAGAAUCCCAGAACUAACACAGAAUUGAUCCAUAGUCUCCUUAACAACUCAACAAUAUUUAGGCUUUAUUUGGGAAUGCAGCCAACCAUCCCAAAUAGGUUUUUAAUGGAAGCAAAAUGAAGAUAUGAAAUAGCCAUACCAAAAUGAAGAUAUCAUUAUUUGAACGAGUAUUUUAUUUUUUAGGCAGCAGAGAAAAUCAUCUUCCUCAAGGACCGAGGCUAUCUUGGCACGAGGGAAAAGACUCCUUUCUUCCUAUAUGAUAAAUCAAAUUUAGGAAGGAAAAAAUCGUUAAAAAGGGAAAAUUUUGAUUUUUUUUCCCCACAGUUUUUUACUUUCACUUUACAUUUUUCACAGUAAAACUAUAUUAUCUAAUGAUUUUUAAAUUUUUAUUUUAUUUAAAAUUAUUAUAUAUAUUAAAGAGAAAUUUUAUGGUAUUUCAGAAAUAACCAAUGAUAUUUAUAGUAAUUUUUUAUAAUGAUACUAACACUACCAAUGGUGUUGAGAUUAGGUAGAGUGGCAUGACUUAAUUAUGACUCUAGUAGCUAGCACUAUUUAAGUCAGGAGUCCUAAUUGAUUAAUUAGCUACCGGAGGUAUGGUUGAGCAGAAGUACUCAUCUCACCAUUCUUAGUUGUUACAUGUUUAGACUUGGUUGUAUCAAAUUUACCUGUUAUGGAAUGAUCUGGAAUGUCUAUAAAAAGUUGGGGAAAGCACACUAAAUUUUUUUUUAUCAUAUUCUCAUAAACGAUGUCAAAUGAUGAAGUAUGAAAAUUAAAAGUAUUUAUAGGAUAAGGUUUUUAGUGGUUGAAUCAUAGAUUUGUUAAGUGUCUUUGUAAAUAGCUCAUUUCUCCAAUGUUAUAGUAAACUUUCUUGAUAAAUGCUUCUGGAUGCUUGCAAAAAGUCCUUUUAGGAUGUUUGAGGAUCCUUCGAUGAUAAAGUUGGCAAUUUAAUAGAGAAAAGGUGUGAUAAAUAUAUUUAAAGAGCUUUUAAUUCUAAAAUAUUAUAUUUGUGUUGAAUCUAUAUCUUAUUAAUGUAAGAAAAAACUUGUCAUUUAUUUGGUAAUUCAAGAGGUAUUUAUAGUUUUAUAAUCUUGUUUUUUUCUUGAGUGGAAGGGCUAGAGAUUAAUUUCACCAUGACAAUAUUUAUGAGGGACAACAUAUCCCUUACAUGAAUAUUAAUAAUCAUUAAUGGAAAGGAAUAUAUCUUGAGCUCUUGUUGACAGCCAAGCUCAUUAUUCUUUUUGGGUUUGAGUGUUUCUCCAUAAGCUUUUAAAUUUUUUUUUGGAAAUGAGCAAAAAAUAUUGGGCCUCAGAUCAUUAUGGGUUUGAUGCCAAUAAGAGAGAAAUCUUAAUCCUUAAUAAAAAUAUUUGAUGAAUUUAUUAGUAAAAUAUUUUACUAGGCUUUUUAUCUAUUAUAAUAUAUUACAAUAUUUGUAUUAUGCACAAAAUUAUAUUCUUUAUAACAUAUACAUGAUGUGUGCGUAGAAGAGAUACAAUAAAUUUCUUUUUCUUCAAACCAAUCAUAAGCCGUGUAAAAAAAGAUGUUUACUUCACUAUUUUUUAAACAAUGAUUGCAAUUUGGAAGUAUAUAUAAAAAGUAAUGAGCUUAAUUUCCAUGUUUAAUUAAGAAAAUGUUAGAUACUAAAAUUUUAUCUAUUCAUAUAUAUUGGGGAGACUUGUUUUAAUAAUAGAAAAUGAUGGACCACAUUCUGAGAACAUGAGACUAGCAUUCUAACCAUAUCCUAAGAGCUGUGUGCUUGCACGAGCGAAGGAAGGGGGUGGAUAUGAAUUGUUUCCUUAUCCAUUUCAAAGUACUUAAGAAGAAACGAAAAAGGAAACUCCAGCAUUUCAGAACGCAGUUAGCCUCCAUCCAAAAUUUAUAAUGGCCAAAGCUUUAACGGGCUUUACCAUCACAAAACCGCACAUGCUUAGCUCUCUGCAGAAAACAAAAUUGGACCUCAAACCAUGUUCAGGAGAGGUAAAAUCUUACAAACCAUGGCUGUCCAUUUUGUGUAGAUAAUUUACACAAGAAGUCUGAAAGCCGAUAAAUUGAGUAAAUCUUUUCUUCUUCUCUCUACUUUUUUCAGCUUUGGCAAUGUUCAAGCAACGGGCUUCUUAGUGGCUGGCUGCAGGUAAGUGGCUCCUUGCUCCAAAUUAUUGACUCUUUGAGUUUUGUUGUUUUGAAUUGAUGAAAAAGUGUACACGCAGACACAAUAGAUUUUUCUUAAUAUUCUUUUGUGUGAUAGCAUAAACGCAGCAAUAAGAAAAGAGCUUCCUUGAGUAAAGUGAACGCCUUCCCAGACUGGCCUCUAAUGGCAGUUAUGGUGGAGCAUAUAGAAGGUCAAAGAGACCUUAUAACUCACAAAUCUAUAUGGCAUCUCAGUGAUCGAGCCAUAAAAAACGUCUGUAAGUUUUUUUUUUUUUUCCUUUUUCUUUUUCUUAUUCUCUCAUUCACUUCAUCCCACUAAUCACUAUAUUUCGUUAGGGGUUUCUUCAGUUCUCUAAUCUUCUCUUCUCUGCUUGUAGAUGUAUUUUACCUUAUGUUCACUUGCUGGGGAUGUUUAUUCUUCGGUUCAAUGAAAGUAAGCACAUCUGGUUUUGCAUGGAGGAUCUGAAAUUUAUACAUAUUAUUUGGCGAGAUUCUAAUGUCUGAGUUUUUAUUGUAUAGGACCCAUACUAUGACUCAGAGGCGUAUAGAAAAGAUGGAGGGGAUGGCAGUGGACAUUGGGUAUAUGACAAGGUAUACGUGCUGACAUGGUCCUUCAGUUCACUCCUCUGUUGAAUCCUCUAACUUCAUGUCUUUCUUUUUCCAGUAAUUUUAAUUAAACUCGCUAAUAUUGUUGAGAAAAUGACUUUGGAAAGCAUACUGAAGAAAAGAUUUUUUUAGAUUAAGAUUUGCACAAGUUAUGAUGUAGGGAGUAAGGGAUUUACUUCUCUUACUUGUAAAAGAUUUCAUGUUAGUGGGAUGGAUCAAUUCUUCCAUCUCUUCCACAAACAUGAUCGAUGUAGCUGACUGAGUCUCGUUUUUACAUGUAAGAGAUGGAAUUCUCUUACUCAGUCAUUAGUCUGAAUUUCAACAAUCAAGAUUUUCAUCUCUGUAAAUUAGUGGAUGGUUAGAAUUCUUCUUUGUAUAGUUUUUUCUUACGUAUCACAUUUGUUGAAUCUAACCAAUUGUUUUAAAAAUGAAACUGAGUAAGAGGCUUCCAUCUCACAUGUAAAAACGAGACUCUUCCCAAUACUGCUAUUCUUCGCCAUGAUCACCAGUUAAAAACAAAGAUUGUUGACCUAUAUAUAAACGGAUAUGCAGCAAGAGGACAUUGAAGAAUCUGCAAGAGCAGAGCUGUGGCGCGAGGAGUUGAUUGAGGAGAUUGAGCAGAAGGUUGGAGGUCUGCGGGAACUGGAAGAAGCUGGCCGAAAGUAGGAGUUUAAUGGAGAAACCAUCGACCUAUCCUCAUGUUUUACUCUAAUUCUCAGUCACGUCCUUCUAAAAAUACAAUAAAUCAUAACACCACAUUAUGUGUUUAUGGUUUUUAUUAUUUUUUAAUGUUUUGUUACUUGUAAUUAACGAUGAAAAAGAAUGUUGUUUCACUAUUA
rnacentral:lncRNA from 1 species